UACGUAGGGUGCAAGCGUUGUCCGGAAUUAUUGGGCGUAAAGAGCUUGUAGGCGGUUUGUCGCGUCUGCUGUGAAAUUUCGGGGCUCAACCCCGAACUUGCAGUGGGUACGGGGCAGACUAGAGUGUGGUAGGGGGAGACUGGAAUUCCUGGUGUAGCGGUGAAAUGCGCAGAUAUCAGGAGGAACACCGAUGGCGAAGGCAGGUCUCUGGGCCACUACUGACGUGAGAAGCGAAAGCAUGGGGAGCGAACAGG
rnacentral:rRNA from 1 species